rnacentral:rRNA from 1 species
ACAAGUUGACAAGAGCAUCGGGUGGAUGCCUUGGCGUCGGAAGGCGAUGAAAGACGUGGUAAGCUGCGAAAAGCCUCGGGGAGAAGCUAAACAUUCUGUGAUCCGGGGAUUUCUGAAUGGGGAAACCCGGCGGAGGUCAUGCUCCGUCGCGGGCACUUGAAUACAUAAAGUGUCCAGCGCCAACUCAGGGAAGUGAAACAUCUCAGUACCUGAAGGAAAAGAAAUCAAACGAGACUCCCAAAGUAGCGGCGAGCGAAAUGGGAUGAGCCCAAACCGGCUGGAUUCGUUCAGCCGGGGUUGUAGGGCCGGCAUAUGUGAUUCAUGAGUAGGCAGGGGAAAUGAGCUGGAAAGCUCUGCCAGAGCGGGUGACAGCCCCGUACCUGAAACCGAAAGCGACACAGCCGGUACCUGAGUACCGCGAGACACGUGGAACCUCGUGGGAAUCCGGGAGGACCAUCUUCCAAGGCUAAGUACUAACCGACGACCGAUAGUGUACCAGUACCGUGAGGGAAAGGUGAAAAGAACCUCUGUUAGAGGAGUGAAAUAGAAUCUGAAACCUGGUGCUUACAAGCUGUGAGAGCGGACUUGUUCCGUGAUCACGUGCCUUUUGCAUAAUGAGUCAGCGAGUUAAUCUGUACUGCAAGGUUAAGCGCAAGUGGAGCCGUAGGGAAACCGAGUCUGACAAGGGCGAUGAGUAGUGCGGAUUAGACCCGAAACCGGGUGAUCUAUCCAUGAGCAGGUUGAAGCAAGGGUAAAACCUUGUGGAGGACCGAACCAAUACCGGCUGAAAACGGUUUGGAUGACUUGUGGAUAGGGGUGAAAGGCCAAUCAAACCCGGUGAUAGCUGGUUCUCCCCGAAAUAUAUUGAGGUAUAGCCUCAUGGAUUGUCUACCGGAGGUAAAGCACUGACAGGGCUAGGGGUCCUACCAGAUUACCAAACCCUAUCAAACUCAGAAUGCCGGUCAGAUGUACCAUGGGAGUCAGACGGCGGGUGCUAAGGUCCGUCGUCGAGAGGGUAAGAGCCCAGAUCAACAGCUAAGGUCUCCAAAUCUAUGCUCAGUGGUUAAGGUGGUGACGUUGUAGAGACACCCAGGACGUUGGCUUAGAAGCAGCCAUCGUUUAAAGAAAGCGUAAUAGCUCACUGGUCUAAUGACGUUGCGCCGAAAAUGUAACGGGGCUAAGCAUAGUACCGAAGCUUUGAAUUCCGCAUAUGCGGUCUGGUAGGGGAGCGUUCUUCACGGGCUGAAGGUGUGUCGUAAGGCAUGCUGGACUGUGGAGAAGUGAUUAUGCUGACAUGAGUAACGAUAAAACGGGUGAAAAACCCGUUCGCCGUAAACCCAAGGUUUUCCGGGUAAAGGUAAUCUUCCCGGAGUUAGUCGGCCCCUAAGGCGAGGCUGAAAGGCGUAGCUGAUGGGAAACGUGUUAAUAUUCACGUACUUGUGUGUUCGCGCGAUGAAGGGACGCAGGAAGAUAGGCAAGCCGGGCGCUGGUUGUCCCGGUGCAAGCGUGUAGGGAUGAGAAGUUGGCAAAUCCGCUUCUCUCUAUCCUGAGACGCGAGUCCGUGACCGAAAGGUCUGAAGUUGUUGAGUCUAUGCUGCCUAGAAAAGCUUCUAAGUAUAGGACACGCAAACCGUACCGGAAACCAACUCAGGUGGGUGGGAUGAAUAAUCCAAGGCGCUCGAGAGAACUCUGGCCAAGGAACUCGGCAAAAUAACCCCGUACCUUCGGAAGAAGGGGUGCUUUUUAGGGUGAAGCGAUUCACUCUGUCGAGCCCUGAAAAGCCGCAGAGAAAUGGUGGUGGCGACUGUUUACUAAAAACAUAGGUCUGUGCCAAGUCGUAUAGACGACGUAUACGGACUGACGCCUGCCCGGUGCUGGAAGGUUAAAAGGAGGAGUCAGCGCAAGCGAAGCUCCGAAUUGAAGCCCCAGUAAACGGCGGCCGUAACUAUAACGGUCCUAAGGUAGCGAAAUUCCUUGUCGGGUAAGUUCCGACCUGCACGA